rnacentral:rRNA from 1 species
UACAGAGGUCUCAAGCGUUGUUCGGAUUCAUUGGGCGUAAAGGGUGCGUAGGUGGCGCCGUAAGUCAGGUGUGAAAUCUCGGGGCUCAACCCCGAAACUGCACUUGAUACUGCGGUGCUCGAGUACUGGAGAGGAGAUUGGAAUUUACGGUGUAGCAGUGAAAUGCGUAGAUAUCGUAAGGAAGACCAGUGGCGAAGGCGAGUUUCUGGACAGUUACUGACGCUGAGGCACGAAGGCCAGGGGAGCAAACGGG